rnacentral:tRNA from 1 species
CGGGAUGUAGCGCAGUUGGUAGCGCACUACGUUCGGGACGUAGAUGUCGCGUGUUCGAGUCACGUCAUCCCGA